rnacentral:rRNA from 1 species
UACGUAGGGUGCGAGCGUUUAAUCGGAAUUACUGGGCGUAGAGGGUGCGCAGGCGGUCUCGUAAGCUGGGUGUGAAAGCCCCGGGCUUAACCUGGGAAUGGCAUUCAGGACUGCGAGGCUUUUGAGUGUGGCAGAGGGAGGUGGAAUUCCACGUGUAGCAGUGAAAAUGCGCAGAUAUCGGGGAGGAACACCAGUGGCGAAGGGCGGUACUCUGGGCCGGGAAACUGACGCUGAGGGAGCGAAAAGCGUGGGGUAGCAAAAC